CAGUUCGAGGAGAGAUGUGACAAAGUGAACCUGCAAAUUACAUAUCCAGCUUACAAACCGGGUCCCGAGCUCUUUACUUUCUCCUGCUUUCUGAAAAUCAAAGGCAACAAACCAAAACUUCUGGUAAAAGGGCAUGCGGUCUCUUUUCCUUUGUCUUCUCAAUAUCAUCCUUUCUCAUUUUUUCCAGUGCAUACUCUCCCUUCUUUUCUCUCAGUCUCGGUGUUUUCCCUCCACCCCCUCACCCCUCCUCACUCCCGCAUUCUCGGCUCCCGGCUUCGCCCCUCGGCCCGGGACAGCCCCAGGGCUCGCACCUGCCGGGGGAGCGCCCGAGCCCGGCCCCGCCAAGGGACUGGCAGUGACGUAGCAGGGAGGACGGUGCCCGCGCGGCCCUCUGACGUCACUGCCGCAACGGUCCCGAGCGAAGCCCAAGAAUGGGAAUUCAAGGAGGGAAACACGGCGGUGACCCCGCGGCAUGGCCGAGUGCCGCGAGCGCCGCGUGCUUUGGGUUUCUGGGGUCGGCGGGCCGGAACCACGCGUCUCGCGCAGACUGAGCCCAUCCCACCCCCUCAGCGCGCCUUAGCGCAAGAAUUUAGUGAUAAGGGGAAUGUCCCCAGACGGUGGGGCGUCGUGCGCACGCGCCCUGGGCGGAGGGAAGAUAGGGGAGAGAGCUGGGGGAGUUUGCGAGAUGUGCUUGGUGGGAAGGAGGGCGGUGUGGCGGGGGAAAGCGACAGAGCCCCAGCGUACGGCACACGGGAACGACGGCUCAGCCCUCCGCCGCUCACCCGUCUCACGGGGCGUUGCGGCGGCGCGGGGCCUGCGGCGCGGCGUCGUGACGUCACGGUGGCGGCGGCCGUGGUUGGCGCAGGGUCCGCGGCUGCAAAGUGUGAAUUACGCCGGGCUCGCGCCGGCGGCGGAGUGAAGUCAGGCUCCGGGGAAGGGGAGGGGCAGCACGGCGGCGGCGGCCCGAGCUGGUGGCUGGUCCCGAGCGCCGCGCGCCCUGGGUCUCGCCACUGGCUCCAGCCGUGUUUUCUUGCACCGCUUGGCUCUGUCCUUGCUCUGCUCCUGCUCGCCCGUCCCCGGACCCAGUCCUCCCGGCCGAAGAGCCCUGGGGCGGCGGGGUUCCCCCUCCGACUUUGCCUGUGCUGCCCCCGUUUGCACCCCGGAGCCGGGCGCGCGCCGGUUCUCGUAACUGUCGCCGCUGCCGCCGCAGCGCCUUCUCGCCGGCGGCCCGGGCGGAGGGUGGGGGUAGGGGAAGCGUGA
rnacentral:lncRNA from 1 species